rnacentral:rRNA from 1 species
GAGGGCCAUGCGAUCCGUCAAGUUAUCAUGAAUNAUCGGAGCGACGGGC